rnacentral:rRNA from 1 species
AUUGAACGCUGGCGGCAGGCCUAACACAUGCAAGUCGAACGGUAACAGGAAGAAGCUUGCUUCUUUGCUGACGAGUGGCGGACGGGUGAGUAAUGUCUGGGAAACUGCCUGAGGGAGGGGGAGAACUACUGGAAACGGUAGCUAAUACCGCAUAACGUCGCAAGACCAAAGAGUGGGACCUUCGGGCCUCUUGCCAUCUGAUGUGCCCAGAUGGGAUUAGCUAGUAGGUGGGGUAACGGCUCACCUAGGCGACGAACCCUAGCUGGUCUGAGAGGAUGACCAGCCACACUGGAACUGAGACACGGUCCAGACUCCUACGGGAGGCAGCAGUGGGGAAUAUUGCACAAUGGGCGCAAGCCUGAUGCAGCCCUGCCGCGUGUAUGAAGAAGGCCUUCGGGUUGUAAAGUACUUUCAGCGGGGAGGAAGGGAGUAAAGUUAAUACCUUAGCUCAUUGACGUUACCCGCAGAAGAAGCACCGGCUAACUCCGUG